UACGUAGGGUGCGAGCGUUGUCCGGAAUUAUUGGGCGUAAAGAGCUCGUAGGCGGUGUGUCACGUCGGCCGUGAAAACCUGGGGCUUAACUCUGGGCGUGCGGUCGAUACGGGCAUCACUAGAGUUCGGCAGGGGAGACUGGAAUUCCUGGUGUAGCGGUGAAAUGCGCAGAUAUCAGGAGGAACACCGGUGGCGGAAGGCGGGUCUCUGGGCCGAUACUGACGCUGAGGAGCGGAAAGCAUGGGUAGCGAACAGG
rnacentral:rRNA from 1 species